CCUCGAAGCUCUGUGCCCAGCCUGGCUGCACUGGAGGGGACAAGGCAGGCAGUUGGAGAGCUGGACAGUGAGACCUCACCCUUGGGACUGCCAUGGUGGCCCAUGAGGCCCUUUUGAGAUGCGUGGUUUAGUCUGGGGGUCCUCAAACUAUGGCCAGCAGGCCAAAUCCAGCCACAGCUUGUUUUUGUUCGGCCAGCGAGAAAGAUGUUGCCAACAUUUGGGACUUCCAUUGGCUCCAGACUAUCAUGAUAUUUUUGGGAAUGUGUCCAAAAGCAGAAGGCGGCCAAACUGUAGUCAUGAGAAGAUGGAACAGUGCUGUGGGAGAAAGACAGAAGCUUAGAGCUUCAUGACAUUGGAGAGCCCCUGGGUCAACCAACUCUAAAGCUGUAUUAACUUGGAUCGCAAGUUGUGUGUUUUGAUUAUUUUUAAGCCAGGCCGAGCUGGGUUUUCUCUUCUGUGCAUGUUUAAAGCUCUUGAGUAAUACAGACUGAGAAUUAUUCUCUGAAAUUUUCUGAGUGUAAGAUUUCUAUUUCCUUUCUUGGAUGCCCCCACACUUACAGCCUUAAAGUUGCAAAUCUCUCGCACGAACCAUUUCUUCCUUUGAAUUGCUUCUUUUUAAUAGUGUUUUUAAGCCCUGGAUGA